rnacentral:rRNA from 1 species
GAUCAUGGCUCAGGAUGAACGCUAGCUGCAGGCUUAACACAUGCAAGUCGAGGGGCAGCAUUUUUCUAGCAAUAGAAGAGAUGGCGACCGGCGCACGGGUGAGUAACACGUAUCCAACCUACCGAUAACUCUGGAAUAGCCUUUCGAAAGAAAGAUUAAUACCGGAUAGUAUACGAAUAUCGCAUGAUAUUUUAUUAAAGAAUUUCGGUUAUCGAUGGGGAUGCGUUCCAUUAGUUUUGG